rnacentral:misc_RNA from 1 species
AACGCACAUUGCGCCUCUUGGUAUUCCGAGGGGCAUGUCUGUUUGAGCGUCAGUACCCACUCUCUUCACAGAGGUUUUGAAAACACCGUCAAGUUUUCUAAAGUGGACGCUUACAAGCCUAUUACCGAUUAGAACGUAGUAAAAUCUUCUCGUUUUUUUUGGGGAAUAAGGUCUUGUCACGUACGAAAAAUGAAAUUUUUGACCUCAGAUCAGACAAGGAUACCCGCUGAACUUAA